rnacentral:lncRNA from 1 species
CUCUUAUAUCUCAAAGACACAGAUGUAAAGCCAAAAACUUUACUACUCCAAGCUAACUACAUAAUGAAAUCCAUGGCUAAUUCGAGUUCUUCUUCCUCUUCUAUACCCUCCCUCUCACCCCACCACCCACCCCAUUCCACCCAGUUCAGAUGUUGAGAAAACCUGCCCAUUUAGAGAUCUGAUUUCUCUUUUCCUUGGGCACACACUCAACAUCACAUAGGGGAAAUGAUCUCAAUUUGGAAGCUGAGUCUCACGCACAAAACUCACACUCACACACGGGCACGGCUCCAAAGACCACACUCCACUCCUCGUCACCUCCGGAACGCACGCAGUCGGUCGACUUCUGAGGUAACUGAAUCUCUUUUCCUUGUUUCAUUUUGGUUUUUAAUUUCUGUUCUAGACUUCUAAGAUUAUUGAAAAUUUGAUGCACUUCUACUUGAUUUAGGGUUUUAGUUCAUGUCCUAGGAUUAUUAAAAAAAAAAAAUGUUGUUUUUGUGAGCUAGGCAGUUUAAAAAAUGAAGGUAAAGCUUUCUGUUGUAGUAAUGAAUUUGUGAAGUUAAAAAAUGGUGAGAUUCCUCAAGAAUUGUCUCGUCUAUUUUUUUUUCUUGACACAUUAAUUUAUUUUUUGCAGGUUUGAGUGUGCAAUUGGUUUGAGUCAGAAUUUGUCAUCUUCGGAGGAUAGUCCUUGAAAGGAAUAGUUUGCUGUUUGCUUGAAUUUUGAGAUUAUUCCUUUAAGAUUUAAAACACGUGCUUUCAGUUUCUUUGGCAUCUUGUUUAGCUUUUUGAGUUUGCCAUUUUACAUUUAAUUUCUGUUUGGGACUUUUGUAUGUGUCAAUUUCUAACAAAACUGUUCUAUAUCAAUAAGUAGAUGUAGAACCUGCAACUACGGUAAUUUCUAUAGUUCAUUGUUCAUUAUGAUUAAUGCUCUGAAAGUCAGUUUUCUCUACCCUUUUGUCAUUAUUAAGAAGCAAGCUGUUGACAUUUGCAAUUUUACUGCGUUUUACAAGGAUGGGAGCAUGAAGUAUGGAAUGUUUGCUUCAUGUGCUAUACUACUUUGAGCAUUGGUAGAG